UAUCCUAACACCUGCCUGGUGUGUUCCUUAUUCUUCAUGAUGCUGUCUGCGCUUUUAACGGACCUCUGAGACUAUCACAGUGCAGGUGCAUUUAUACCGAGACUUGAUUACACACAGGUGGAUUGUAUUUAUCGUCAUUUAGUCAUUUAGGUCAACAUUGGAUCAUUCAGAGAUCCUCACUGAACUUCUGGAGAGAGUUUGCUGCACUGAAAGUAAAGGGGCUGAACAAUUUUGCACGCCAGAUUUUUCAGUUUUUGAUUUGUUAAAAAAGUUUGAAAUAUCCAAUAAAUAUCGUUCCACUUCAUGAUUGUGUCCCACUUGUUGUUGAUUCUUCACAAAAAAAUACAGUUUUAUAUCUUUAUGUUUGAAGCCUGAAAUGUGGCAAAAGGUCGCAAAGUUCAAGGGGCCGAAUACUUUCGCACGGCACUUUAUAUACACACAGUCCCAGUCAAAAUUUUGGACACACCAACUCAUUCAAGGGUUGUUGUUUUUUUUACAUUGUAGAAUAAUAGUGAAGACAUCAAAACUAUGAAAUAAAACAUAUGGAAUCAUGUAGUAACCCAAAACAGUGUUAAACAAAUCAAAAUAUAUUUUAGAUUCUUCAAAGUAGCCACCCUUUGCCUUAAUGAAAGCUUUGUACACUCUUGGCAUUCCCUCAACCAGUAUUUUCUUUUAGGGGUUCGUUAGGGCAAAUCAAGACUAACAAAAGUGGAAAUGACAAACGUAGGAGCCUUAUAAAAUCUAGAAUAAACUACAAGGUUACAUUUCCUGCUAUAAAAUUCUCAGCAACAUAAGAGUGAUCAAAUUAAGAAUCUACAUCUGUAGACACUCGUCCUGGGUUACAUUCUGGAAUCUUUCAGACGUCCUGUUCAGCAACUCCUCGGGGUAGCCCCUUUGUUUGAAAACACUGGCACAGAUCUCAGAGACUAUCCACUAUUUUCAAACACCCUUCCCAGGUAGUGUACAAAAGCCCCCCUUACAUCAGACAGAUGGUUGUCAAGUAAGAUUUUCCCUGUGUGCCUUAUAUGAAUGCUUAUACAGUUAUAAUAUUCCAGAAACAACUAAUAAAAUCUAUAUAUAUGCACUACCGGUCAAAGGUUUUAGAAGACCCAUUUAUUCAUGGUGUUUUCCUUUAUUUUUACUAAUUUCUACAUUGUAGAAUAAUAGUGAAGACUUCAAAACUAUGAAGUAACACACAUUUGGGUUCCAACCGCUGUCUUUGUGAGAUGCGGUGUGAUGAAAGGGAGGAUCUCCGCAUGUGUAUUUCCCACCGCGAAGCAUGGAGGAGGAGGUGUGAUGGUGUGGGGGUGCUUUGCUGGUGACAAUGUCUGUGAUUUAUUUAGAAUUCAAGGCACACUUAACCAGCAUGGAUUCAACAGCAUUCUGCAGCGAAACUCCAUCCCAUCUGGUUUGCGCUUAGUGGGACUAUCAUUUGUUUUUCAACAGGACAAUGACCCAACACACCUCCAGGCUGUUUAAGGGCUAUUUUACCAAGAAGGAGAGUGAUUGAGUGCUGCUUGAGAUGACCUGGCCUCCACAAUUCCCUGAUGUCAACCAAAUUGAGAUGGUUUGGGAUGAGUCGGACCGCACAGUGAAGGAAAAGCAGCCAACAAAGUGCUCAGAAUAUGUGGAAACAUUUUCAAGACUGUUGGAAAAGCAUUCCAGGUGACGUUGGAGAGAAUACCAAGAGUGUGCAAAGCUGUCAUCAAGGCAAAGGGUGUCUAUUUGAAGAAUCUCAAAUAUAAAAUAUAUUUGGAUUUGUUUAACACUUUUUUGGUUACUACAUGAUUCCAUAUGUUUUAUUUCAUAGUUUUGAUGUCUUCACUAUUAUUCUACAAUGUAUAAAAUAGUAAAAAUAAAGAAAAACCCUGGAAUGUGUAGGUGAUCUAAAACUUUUGACCGAUAGUGUAUAUAUAGUGUUUGUGUUGCCCCUUUCAACUUAAACAUGUAUAGACCCACCCUAAUUGGUGCUUGUCUUAUAUCUAUAAAUAUGGGAGUGGUGCUCUCCCGGUGAAACGUUGUUUGUAUAUUAAUGAAGUUAAAGUCUCUGUUUCUUUAAUACUGACUUUGGCCUCGCAUCCCACUAAAGUUUGAGUUUGAUCACACUUGACAAUGAGAGAGGACCAUGGGAACCUUGCGAUCGGUAUCUAUGGGAAUCUUGCGAUCGGUAUCUAUGGGGCGGCAGGGUAGCCUAGUGGUUAGAGCGUUGGACUAGUAACCGGAAGGUUGCAAGUUCAAACCCCGAGCUGACAAGGUCGUUCUGCCCCUGAACAGGCAGUUAACCCACUGUUCCUAGGCCGUCAUUGACAAUAAGAAUUUGUUCUUAACUGACUUGCCUGGUUAAAUAAAGGUAAAAUUAAUGGGAACUGUUUCCAUAGCAAGGCGGGUCCUGUACGAAAUCCCUGAUUGAUUCCUUCAUGGAUUUACCAUGUCUUCCACACUGUCAAACCCAAAGCUACGGACAUAUUGGUCUUGCCUCCCUGACAGCCAUAAAACCUGAAGGCUGCCAUAUGACUCUUAUGAUUUCAAUAAAUGUACAUCGAUUUGUUGCUGUUGAUGGUUUCACAAUGAAUCUCUCCAGUAAUAAGUCAACUCCUACUACCAUCUAUGCAUAUUCUGUAAUCAUCAUAACCAUUCUGAAUACAUCAUCCAAGUAUUUAUGUUGAUCAUCAUAACCAUUCUGAAUACAUCAUCCAAGUAUUUAUGUUGAUCAUCAUAACCAUUCUGAAUACAUCAUCCAAGUAUUUAUGUUGAUCAUCAUAACCAUUCUGAAUACAUUAUCCAGGUAUUUAUGUUGAUCAUCAUAACCAUUCUGAAUACAUUAUCCAGGUAUUUAUGUUGAUCAUCAUAACCAUUCUGAAUACAUUAUCCAGGUAUUUAUGUUGAUCAUCAUAACCAUUCUGAAUACAUUAUCCAGGUAUUUAUGUUGAUCAUCAUAACCAUUCUGAAUACAUUAUCCAGGUAUUUAUGUUGAUCAUCAUAACCAUUCUGAAUACAUUAUCCAGGUAUUUAUGUUGAUCAUCAUAACCAUUCUGAAUACAUUAUCCAGGUAUUUAUGUUGAUCAUCAUAACCAUUCUGAAUACAUUAUCCAGGUAUUUAUGUUGUCAUUGCAAUAACUUAUUAAUGCCGAUGCUUAGAAAGAGAUGUGGUCAAAAAUGGAACCUUCAGUUCUUUCCCAUUGCAUAUUUACAGUCCUUAUUAGUGGGCUGUCUUCAUUGUGUGUGUGUGUGUGUGUGUGUGUGUGUGUGUGUGUGUGUGUGUGUGUGUGUGUGUGUGUGUGUGUGUGUGUGUGUGUGUGUGUGUGUGUGUGUGUGUGUGUGUGUGUGUGGAGGCCUGUGAUGCGACAUGCCAAAGCCCAUUUGUGUUUGGUAUAAAUGAUCCCUGCCCAACACACAAACAGCACGCCUCAGCGGCUUGGCAACUCAGCCGCCAUCAGAUGAACCUCUUUUAGAUUGGAUACUGACUGGGCUGAAUGCCAUAAUCCAUAAUCAACCCCUCCCCUCAAACUUACUACACUCCCCAUAUUUAAUUAAACUGCCGAUUUGGUAAAUAAAUUCCAAUGCAUGGCAAGGGCAUUCCCCACACAACACCAUCACAGGUCACAGUGUUGGAGACAUUCUAGAAUGUCUCAUGGAAACGGUUCUAUUGUUCAGGGAUGAAAAGAGAUUCAUUGGCGGGUUUCUGGCAGCCGAGAUCUUUCUUAUUGACCAAAACCAAACACUGAGAUUACACAGAUUAAAGCUUUGCUUUAUUGUGAGGCCUGGUGUUUGAAGGUGAAGUGAGGCCUGGUGUUUGAAGGUGAAGUGAGGCCUGGUGUUUGAAGGUGAAGUGAGGCCUGGUGUUUGAAGGUGAAGUGAGGCCUGGUGUUUGAAGGUGAAGUGAGGCCUGGUGUUUGAAGGUGAAGUGAGGCCUGGUGUUUGAAGGUGAAGUGAGGCCUGGUGUUUGAAGGUGAAGUGAGGCCUGGUGUUUGAAGGUGAAGUGAGGCCUGGUGUUUGAAGGUGAAGUGAGGCCUGGUGUUUGAAGGUGAAGUGAGGCCUGGUGUUUGAAGGUGAAGUGAGGCCUGGUGUUUGAAGGUGAAGUGAGGCCUGGUGUUUGAAGGUGAAGUGAGGCCUGGUGUUUGAAGGUGAAGUGAGGCCUGGUGUUUGAAGGUGAAGUGAGGCCUGGUGUUUGAAGGUGAAGUGAGGCCUGGUGUUUGAAGGUGAAGUGAGGCCUGGUGUUUGAAGGUGAAGUGAGGCCUGGUGUUUGAAGGUGAAGUGAGGCCUGGUGUGACAACAGCCAUGAAAGAAGGGAAAACAAGUGAGAAAGUGAGUUGGUCAUAUUUAUCAAGAAGUUAUUAUCUGCUCUAUAAAAUAUGAACGUGUCAGUGUCAUUCAGUCAUUCAGUCAUUCAGUCAGCUGUCUACUAGUUGUUAGUUUGCCUGCUAGUUUCUCUAUAGAAUAUAAACACACACCUAACAAAGGGGGACCAUUAAUUAUUUGUGAGACGACUGGAAUUCUGUUGUUGUAUUUUUAGCAGAAUGUUACUGCCAGAGCCAAUCUGAUACGGCUUACAGAAUAUUUCAAUCAUUGCUCAGUACAUUCGAGGAAGACAGAGGGACGAAUAAACCUA